AGUUUGCUUGCAAACUGAAGAUGGCGACCGGCGCACGGGUGAGUAACACGUAUCCAACCUGCCGAUAACUCCGGGAUAGCCUUUCGAAAGAAAGAUUAAUACCGGAUGGCAUACGAAUAUCGCAUGAUAUUUUUAUUAAAGAAUUUCGGUUAUCGAUGGGGAUGCGUUCCAUUAGUUUGUUGGCGGGGUAACGGCCCACCAAGACUACGAUGGAUAGGGGUUCUGAGAGGAAGGUCCCCCACAUUGGAACUGAGACACGGUCCAAACUCCUACGGGAGGCAGCAGUGAGGAAUAUUGGUCAAUGGGCGAGAGCCUGAACCAGCCAAGUAGCGUGAAGGAUGAAGGCUCUAUGGGUCGUAAACUUCUUUUAUAUGGGAAUAAAGUUUUCCACGUGUGGAAUUUUGUAUGUACCAUAUGAAUAAGGAUCGGCUAACUCCGUGCCAGCAGCCGCGGUAAUACGGAGGAUCCGAGCGUUAUCCGGAUUUAUUGGGUUUAAAGGGAGCGUAGGUGGAUUGUUAAGUCAGUUGUGAAAGUUUGCGGCUCAACCGUAAAAUUGCAGUUGAAACUGGCAGUCUUGAGUACAGUAGAGGUGGGCGGAAUUCGUGGUGUAGCGGUGAAAUGCUUAGAUAUCACGAAGAACUCCGAUUGCGAAGGCAGCUCACUAGACUGUUACUGACA
rnacentral:rRNA from 1 species